rnacentral:rRNA from 1 species
AUUGAACGCUGGCGGCAUGCCUUACACAUGCAAGUCGAAUGGCAGCACGGGAGCAAUCCUGGUGGCGAGUGGCGAACGGGUGAGUAAUAUAUCGGAACGUGCCCAGUAGUGGGGGAUAACUGCUCGAAAGAGCAGCUAAUACCGCAUACGACCUGAGGGUGAAAGGGGGGGAUCGCAAGACCUCUCGCUAUUGGAGCGGCCGAUAUCAGAUUAGCUAGUUGGUGGGGUAAAGGCCUACCAAGGCAACGAUCUGUAGUUGGCUGAGAGGACGACCAGCCAAACUGGGACUGAGACACGGCCCAGACUCCUACGGGAGGCAGCAGUGGGGAAUUUUGGACAAUGGGCGCAAGCCUGAUCCAGCAAUGCCGCGUGCAGGAAGAAGGCCUUCGGGUUGUAAACUGCUUUUGUCAGGGAAGAAAUCCUCUAGGUUAAUACCCUUGGGGGGAUGACGGUACCUGAAGAAUAAGCACCGGCUAACUACGUGCCAGCCGCCGCCGUAACAC